CACGUAGGGCGCAAGCGUUGUCCGGAAUUAUUGGGCGUAAAGAGCUCGUAGGCGGUCUGUUGCGUCCGCUGUGAAAACCCGGGGCUUAACCCCUGGCUUGCAGUGGAUACGGACAGACUAGAGUUAGGUAGGGGAGAAUGGAAUUCCCGGUGUAGCGGUGAAAUGCGCAGAUAUCGGGAGGAACACCGAUGGCGAAGGCAGGUCUCUGGGCAUUAACUGACGCUGAGGAGCGAAAGCAUGGGGAGCGAACAGG
rnacentral:rRNA from 1 species